CAAUAGCGUAUAUUAAAGUUGUUGCAGUUAAAAAACUCGUAGUUGGAUUUCGGGAUGGCCCGGCCGGUCUGCCGCAAGGUAUGUUACUGGCCGAGCUGUUCUUCUUCGCAAAGACUGUGUGUGCUCUUAACUGAGUGUGCUCAGGAUCUGUGACGUUUACUUUGAAAAAAUUAGAGUGUUCAAAGCAAGCCAGCGCUUGAAUACAUAAGCAUGGAAUAAUGGAAUAGGACUUUGGUUCUAUUUUGUUGGUUUCUGGAACCUUAGUAAUGAUUAAGAGAGACAGUUGGGGGCAUUCGUAUUUCGUUGUCAGAGGUGAAAUUCUUGGAUUUACGAAAGACGAACUACUGCGAAAGCAUUUGCCAAGAAUGUUUUCAUUAA
rnacentral:rRNA from 1 species